AUGGCCUGGACUGUGCUUCUCCUCACCCUCCUCACUCAGGCCACAGGUUCCUGGGCCCAGUCUGCUCUGACUCAGCCUUCCUCAGUGCCUGGGGCUCUGGGACAGUCAGUCACCAUCUCCUGUGCUGGGACCAGCAACGACAUUGGGAGAUAUAACUAUGUGUCCUGGUACCAGCAGCUCCCUGGGAAGACACCCAAGCUCCUGAUUUAUGAUGUCAGUUCCCGGCCCUCAGGGAUCCCUGAUCGCUUCUCUGGCUCCAAGUCAGGCAACACGGCCACCUUGACCAUCUCUGGUCUCAAGCCUGAGGAUGAGGCUGAGUAUCACUGUUGUUCACCUAGCACUAGUGUUGCUUACCACAGUGACUUCUCCAUCCUGUUCUUGGAGGCUUCCUGCAGUAUGGACUUCGUCAUUCACAUCAUCCUUAAUCCUCUCCUGUCCCACAGUGAAGAGCAGAAGUGA